rnacentral:rRNA from 1 species
UCUCCUGGAAAACGGGUGGUAAUGCCGGAUGCUCCAUCACACCGCAUGGUGUGUUGGGAAAGCCUUUGCGGCAUGGGAUGGGGUCGCGUCCUAUCAGCUUGAUGGCGGGGUAACGGCCCACCAUGGCUUCGACGGGUAGCCGGCCUGAGAGGGCGACCGGCCACAUUGGGACUGAGAUACGGCCCAGACUCCUACGGGAGGCAGCAGUGGGGAAUAUUGCACAAUGGGCGCAAGCCUGAUGCAGCGACGCCGCGUGAGGGAUGGAGGCCUUCGGGUUGUAAACCUCUUUUGUUAGGGAGCAAGGCAUUUUGUGUUGAGUGUACCUUUCGAAUAAGCACCGGCUAACUACGUGCCAGCAGCCGCGGUAAUACGUAGGGUGCAAGCGUUAUCCGGAAUUAUUGGGCGUAAAGGGCUCGUAGGCGGUUCGUCGCGUCCGGUGUGAAAGUCCAUCGCUUAACGGUGGAUCCGCGCCGGGUACGGGCGGGCUUGAGUGCGGUAGGGGAGACUGGAAUUCCCGGUGUAACGGUGGAAUGUGUAGAUAUCGGAAAGAACACCA